UACGAAGGGGGCUAGCGUUGCUCGGAAUCACUGGGCGUAAAGGGCGCGUAGGCGGCCAUUCAAGUCAGAGGUGAAAGCCCAAGGCUCAACCUUGGAACUGCCUUUGAUACUGUUUGGCUUGAGACCGGUAGAGGUAAGUGGAAUUCCCAGUGUAGCGGUGAAAUGCGUAGAUAUUGGGAGGAACACCAGUGGCGAAGGCGGCUCACUGGACCGGUUCUGACGCUGAGGUGCGAAAGCGUGGGGAGCAAACAGG
rnacentral:rRNA from 1 species